CAGUAGCCACGGUAAUACAGAGGAUGCAAGCGUUGUCCGGAAUUAUUGGGCGUAAAGCGCGCGCAGGUGGUUUAAUAAGUCUGAUGUGAAAGCCCACGGCUCAACCGUGGAGGGUCAUUGGAAACUGUUAAACUUGAGUGCAGGAGAGAAAAGUGGAAUUCCUAGUGUAGCGGUGAAAUGCGUAGAGAUUAGGAGGAACACCAGUGGCGAAGGCGGCUUUUUGGCCUGUAACUGACACUGAGGCGCGAAAGCGUGGGGAGCAAACAGGAUUAGAUACCCCCGUAGUCCCUGUCUCUUAUAC
rnacentral:rRNA from 1 species